rnacentral:rRNA from 1 species
GACGAACGCUGGCGGCGUGCCUAAUACAUGCAAGUCGAACGCACUCUCGUUUAGAUUGAAGGAGCUUGCUCCUGAUUGAUAAACAUUUGAGUGAGUGGCGGACGGGUGAGUAACACGUGGGUAACCUGCCCUAAAGUGGGGGAUAACAUUUGGAAACAGAUGCUAAUACCGCAUAAAACCUAACACCGCAUGGUGUAGGGUUGAAAGAUGGUUUCGGCUAUCACUUUAGGAUGGACCCGCGGUGCAUUAGUUAGUUGGUGAGGUAAAGGCUCACCAAGACCGUGAUGCAUAGCCGACCUGAGAGGGUAAUCGGCCACACUGGGACUGAGACACGGCCCAGACUCCUACGGGAGGCAGCAGUAGGGAAUCUUCCACAAUGGACGAAAGUCUGAUGGAGCAACGCCGCGUGAGUGAAGAAGGUUUCGGAUCGUAAAACUCUGUUGUUGGAGAAGAAUAGUAUCUGAUAGUAACUGAUCAGGUAGUGACGGUAUCC